ACCAAGUUGAAGAGUUCCAUAUAGGACGAAACAUGUGUCCUGGAU
rfam:Schistosoma curassoni strain Dakar, Senegal genome assembly, scaffold: SCTD_scaffold0000219